rnacentral:rRNA from 1 species
UACGAAGGGGCUAGCGUUGCUCGGAAUCACUGGGCGUAAAGCGCACGUAGGCGGAUUGCUAAGUCAGGGGUGAAAUCCUGGAGCUCAACUCCAGAACUGCCUUUGAUACUGGCGACCUUGAGUCCGGGAGAGGUGAGUGGAACUGCGAGUGUAGAGGUGAAAUUCGUAGAUAUUCGCAAGAACACCAGUGGCGAAGGCGGCUCACUGGCCCGGUACUGACGCUGAGGUGCGAAAGCGUGGGGAGCAAACAGG